GGGAGGCAAGCAAGCAGGCAGCUCACCAGCCCCAAUGACAACCACUGCCCGCCUGCAGCGGGCGACACUAGGUGCCCACGCCGCCAUUUUUUUAAAAACACAAGCAGCCGAGGCAUAUUUAACCAUCAUCAUUCUGCAGCUAAAAAGCCAUCAGUCAGCAAGUACUGUUACAGAGGGAAAGGUCAGAGCGAAGACGGCUGCGGCGGAGUAGGCGGAUAGGCCAGCAGCAUGGGAUAAAUCUCAUCUGGUCCUGAGGAUUUAACCACCUUUAAGCCUGCUAACGCAUUGAGUACCUUCCUUUUUAUUUCUGGAACCUUGAACUAGAAUUUCACCUAACCCUUGCUGAGUUCUCCAACCAUAAAAUAAGGGAUCAUUACACUUCGGUGUUGAGACCUUUUCAAGCAGCAGACUCCCAUUGUUGAAAGAAAAUUGCUUCAGUUGCUUUCAGUCAGUUAACUCUACCAUCCUGCAUGUGAGUAGGUAUGGGCUGUCAAUUAUUCUUGACUUGUAAUGUAUUGUGCAUUCUUCUGGUCUGGUCUUUCAAGCCAAGUAUCACUUUCACUCAUUUACUCAGAUACAG